rnacentral:rRNA from 1 species
AAGACCUUGCACUUUUGGAGCGGCCGAUGUCUGAUUAGCUAGUUGGUGGGGUAAUGGCCUACCAAAGCUUCGAUCAGUAGCUGGUCUGAGAGGACGGCCGGCCACACUGGGACUGAGACACGGCCCAGACUCCUACGGGAGGCAGCAGUGGGGAAUUUUGGACAAUGGGCGCAAGCCUGAUCCAGCCAUGCCGCGUGAGUGAAGAAGGCCUUCGGGUUGUAAAGCUCUUUCAGCCGGGAAGAAAAGGUUGCGACUAAUAAUCGCAAUUCAUGACGGUACCGAAAGAAGAAGCACCGGCUAACUACGUGCCAGCAGCCGCGGUAAUACGUAGGGUGCGAGCGUUAAUCGGAAUUACUGGGCGUAAAGGGUGCGCAGGCGGUUUUGUAAGUCAGAUGUGAAAUCCCCGGGCUUAACCUGGGAACU